rnacentral:rRNA from 1 species
GUGCAAGCGUUAAUCGGAAUUACUGGGCGUAAAGCGUGCGCAGGCGGUUAUGUAAGUCAGAUGUGAAAUGCCCGGGCUUAACCUGGGAACUGCAUUUGUGACUGCAUGGCUAGAGUUUGGCAGAGGGGGGUAGAAUUCCACGUGUAGCAGUGAAAUGCGUAGAUAUGUGGAGGAACACCGAUGGCGAAGGCAGCCCCCUGGGUCAAGACUGACGCUCAUGCACGAAAGCGUGGGGAGCAAACAGG